UACCAGCACCCCGAGUGGUCUGGACGUUUAUUGGGCCUAAAGCAUCCGUAGCCGGUUCUACAAGUCUUCCGUUAAAUCCACCUGCUUAACAGAUGGGCUGCGGAAGAUACUAUGGAGCUAGGAGGCGGGAGAGGCAAGCGGUACUCGAUGGGUAGGGGUAAAAUCCGUUGAUCCAUUGAAGACCACCAGUGGCGAAGGCGGCUCACUGGCCCGAUACUGACGCUGAGGUGCGAAAGCGUGGGGAGCAAACAGG
rnacentral:rRNA from 1 species